rnacentral:tRNA from 1 species
GCCUGGCUGGCUCAGUCAGAAGAGCACGUGACUCUUGAUCUCGAGGUUGUGAGUUCAAGCCCCACACUGGGGG